rnacentral:rRNA from 1 species
UACGUAGGUCCCGAGCGUUGUCCGGAUUUAUUGGGUUUAAAGGGUGCGCAGGCGGCACGGCAAGCCGGCGGUCAAAUCGCGGGGCUCAACCCCGCCCAGCCGUCGGAACUGCCGGGCUAGAGUGGGCGAGAAGUGCGCGGAAUGCGAGGUGUAGCGGUGAAAUGCAUAGAUAUCACGCAGAACUCCGAUUGCGAAGGCAGCGCACCGGCGCCCUACUGACGCUCAGGCACGAAAGCGUGGGUAUCGAACAGG